GACGAACGCUGGCGGCGUGCCUAAUACAUGCAAGUCGAACGCAGUGGGGACGGGUGAGUGACACGUGGGUACCCUGCCAUCAAAGGGGAUAACACUUGGAAACAGGCGCUUACCCGAUACUGAGGUAUGGACCCGCGGUGCAUUAGGUAGUUGGUGAGGUAACGGCUUAACAAGGCUACGAUGCAUAGCCGGUCUGAGAGGGUGAUCAGCCACACUGGGACUGAGAAACGGCCCAGACUCCUACGGGAGGCAGCAGUGGGGAAUCUUCGACAAUGGACGAAAGCCUGACCGAGCAACGCCGCGUGAGUGAAGAAGGUUUUCGGAUCGUAAAGCUCUUUUGUUAGAGAGGCGGUAUCUAACCAAAAAGCAACGGCUAACUCCGUGCCAGCCGCCGCGGUAAUAC
rnacentral:rRNA from 1 species